AUUGAACGCUGGCGGCAGGCCUAACACAUGCAAGUCGACCGAGUGGCGGACGGGUGAGUAAUGUCUGGGAAACUGCCUGAUGGAGGGGGAUAACUACUGGAAACGGUAGCUAAUACCGCAUACCAUCAGAUGUGUCCAGAUGGGAUUAGCUAGUUGGUGGGGUAACGGCUCACCAAGGCGACGAUCCCUAGCUGGUCUGAGAGGAUGACCGUCCCACAUGGAACUGAGACACGGUCCAGACUCCGACGUGAGGCAGAAGUGGGGAAUAUUGCACAAUGGGCGCAAGCCUGAGGCAGCCAGGCCGCGUGUAUGAAGAAGGCCUUCGGGUUGUAAAGUACGUUCAGCGGGGAGGCGGUACCCGCAGAAGAAGCACCGGCUAACUCCGUGCCAGCAGCCGCGGUAAUAC
rnacentral:rRNA from 1 species